AUCCAGCUGACGAGUCCUAAAUAAGACGAAACGCGUUUUAUCCUAGAU
rnacentral:hammerhead_ribozyme from 1 species